CUACGGGUGGCACCAGUGGGGAAUAUUGCACAAUGGGCGCAAGCCUGAUGCAGCAACGCCGCGUGAAUGAAGAAGGUCUUCGGAUCGUAAAGUUCUUUUCUUAGGGAAGAAAAAUGACGGUACCUAAGGAAUAAGCACCGGCUAAAUACGUGCCAGCAGCCGCGGUAAUACGUAUGGUGCAAGCGUUAUCCGGAAUCACUGGGCGUAAAGGGAGCGUAGGCGGCUUUGCAAGUCAGAAGUGAAAGGCUACGGCUCAACCGUGGUAAGCUUUUGAAACUGCAAGGCUAGAGUGCAGGAGAGGCAAGUGGAAUUCCUAGUGUAGAGGUGAAAUUCGUAGAUAUUAGGAGGAACACCAGUGGCGAAGGCGACUUGCUGGACUGUAACUGACGCUGAGGCUCGAAAGCGUGGGGAGCGAACAGGAUUAGAUACCCCUGUAGUC
rnacentral:rRNA from 1 species